AAGGAUCAACAGUAAAAGAGACUUAAGAAACAGUUCACGAUAGAAUGAGCAAUUGGGGAAAUUAAUUAGAUUUUUUAGUGAAUUGGAAAUUUAUUCAAUGAUUACUAAUUUGGUAAACUGACAAAUGGACAUGAAUCGGCUUUUUGUUCUGAAAACAAAGGGUUCACAACCUAAGUUGGGUGCGGUAAAUAAUAUAACGAAUAACUGUAUUAUUCCCUAAUGACUGAUGGCAGAAGUUGUCUACCCUUUAUUUUUGUAUAUUGUGUGAAUGGACAGGAUAAAAAUAAUGAAUAUUUUGAUGCGCCAUAAGAAUUUUGGUACAUGAUAUUUACUAGUAAGGAAAGAUGUGGAUCUUUUAUAUCAUGUUCGUGCACAAUACUAAAUCGUUGAAUCACAGUGUUAGGCAACACAAGUUGUAUCUCGACUUGGGAAUCAAUUCAUUGCUACUGUUAUCGAAGAUUGUUCUCAUGGCCACUAAUCCAUUACGUUCUCUACCUUUGCGAUACAACGUAUAUAGACCUAAGAAAACAAGGGCAUUUACAAUUUCAUGCAUUGUGAAAAGAUGUAUUCUUAAUUACUAAAUCAAAUGAAAAGCAGAGUAUGACCGCGGAUUAAAUUGCUGGUGAAGAAUACUAAAGCCAUUUAAACGCAUCCAGAGAAAAUAAACAGAAAAACGCUUGUCUUAAUCUUUGCAUGUUCCGUUAUCAGCUUUGCAAAUAAAAAAUAUAAACAAACCCACGAAACGAUACAAUAACAAUAAUGUGUACAUCCUCAUAUCCCAUAACAAUGUUUAAGCAUCAUUAUGUUAGGUGAUAAUAAUGUACAAGCACUUAUAUUAAGAAUAGGGAAAAGAAGAAAUAAAUAAACGAACCGUAACGUAACGAAAAGAAAAAGACCAAUUAUCGACAUUGCCAAACCAUUAAAACCAUACAUACAUUCAUAACUCAUAACAACGAAUUGAACCACGUGCACAUUAUUCCUGCUUGGAAGAAAGCGCGUCCUGUGCAAUAUUGAUACAAGGACUUCUUUGAAAAAGAGAAGCAAAGGAAAGAAAGAUGUGCAAUUAAUACAGCGUUGAAUACUUGUAAUCUGGGUACCUUACCCAUAAACCGAUUCUAAGUAGACUACGCAUGUAGUUUUGUGUAAGCACUGAACCGUGGUGUAGGGAAAUCGGCGGAAGUCAUUGAUUUGCGAUGGAAAUGAGCUAGAUGUUCUGAGACGAGAAAUUGAUAUUCGGAGGAUACAGAGAUAUUAGAUGUGGUUUGAGUGUCCAACUUGGUGAAAUCCAAAAGAUGGCAUUCAGAAGAGCAGUACAAACUGCCAUCCUGAGUGGUGGCUCCACACACUGUGCAAAAAUCCAAAUCCAUCGAGUGAGUAAACUAACAAGGAAAAGAGAACGAAAGGCGUGGUUCGAUAACUUAUUGAGUUAACGUUACAAGUAAGUCUGUAUUGAUUUUCUACGCAAUACGACACAGUAUAGGAGGAUAUAAAAAUGCGGCAGAGGAUAAUUUAAAAAGAAGAAAAAGAGCCUAGUCCGCAAAAUGAAAGAAUCAAGAGAAAGCGAAAUGAAACAAAUAGAAAUAAAUAGAAUCACUAUUUGUCAAAUUAACCAAACCUUAAAGCAACCUAAGAAUAGUCCGUCUUCAAGGGAGAGAUAUGAUUUAAGUAAGCUGAUUCAAAACUAGAUGAGCGUUGUGGAAAAAAAAUAAACAAACAGUCACUGUGAUAUGUUUGAAAAGGCUUUAAGUAAAUACGUGAAUGAGAGAGUGUGUAUAAUAAAGUGUGCGUUGGUAAACAAACAAACAAAAAAGCAAGUGAAACCCAACAACGACGCUCGGUUUUUUUUUACCAAACUAAAGAUGCUGGGGAAAUAAUAAAGGUAUGUAAUGACUGUUGAACCUUAAGAGUCCGAGUGCUCGCAUAUAUAUAGUGUGAUAGAUCGGUGCUUGUUUACAUAUGUAAUCGAUCAAUCUCGCAUCACUCUGAAGCGAUGAUAAGAUAUUUGAUGAUCAUUACUCAUCUUUUCUCAUAUUGUCGAAAUACCGCAUGAUAAGGUCGGAAUAAGAAAUAAGGAUAAGGAAGAAAUUGUUACAACGUUAAAAAGCAGGUUUAGUGUGUCGCUGGACUACGUAAUACAUAUGAACGGGAAAAAAGGUCGUUAAGAGGUAUUGAAGGAACGCUAGGUAUUACCGGGACAGAAUGUCAAGGAAGUGUGAAUGGGCGGUAGACAUAUUUGAGAGAACGAAAAAAGGGAUUUGAACUAUUAAAUGCAUAUUUGGGAGGUUGUUUGUUUGUUUGUUUGAGUAUUCGUAGCGGAUUAAAGAGUCACUGGCCGCAUUCGUUGAGUUAACGUGUACGCUCAAAAAAUUAGUAAGACGAUGAAUUUGGCUGACUGAUCAAAAAAGUUACAUCACAACUGUUUCAAACAAAAUUAAAAAGAAAUUUCUAAUUAAAUGAAUUUCAACAUAAAGUGAUUGAAGCGGAUCCGUGGUUUCCUCCUUGCAUUAUUGUAAAUGCAAAAAAGCAAUCGCAUGAUUUACUCUAAGGUUUGCGACUGUUGUGAGGAACAUUUCGUGAGUCGCCAGUUUAUUUGUAUCACAUCUCCUUUUCUCAAACUACUGCUUCAAUCCCGUAGUGGCAAAAACAUACCACAGACUCGGGAGACAUUUCUUUUUCGCCAGUAUGGAAAUCGCGCAAUGCUUAUACUGAGCAGUCAUGAUUUCUUCCUGUCUGUGUUUUAUGAUUAACUUCUUAUUAUAAAUUUCACUUUGUCAUGAUCACCCACGAAUUCAACAUUGUGUUGUUUAUUUCGCAAUUUCUCAGCAUCAAGCACGUCGAUCUCGGGUCCCUUAAUCACAAUCACGCUUAACUUUUGAUCUGAUAAUUUUUGAUCUGACUUCAUAUAAGUAACGUGUUCCUUGUCGGCGUUGAGGUUAAUCGCAAUCAUCAUCGGAAACAGAGAUCUUACCCGCAAAGUGUAUGCAUAUGUUUAAGUAGUUAACGCUUUGUAAAUGUAUGUCUCCAUGUUUAGUGCGAGAUGUCUUAGAUUCUGAAUUGAAUUUUAUAGUAUCAUGCAACAUACUAUCAUUGAUUUUUUGCCUAUCUAUGGAUUUCACAAAAUUCGGCUAGGUGCUUCCUAAACUUCAAACUGAUGGAUACCGCUAAGAUUCGCUGUCUCGUCGUUCUAUAGCAGCCGAAGGACUAUACCAAUUAGUCUUUUUUAUAAAGAUUUCGCGUGCGUUUAAACAUGUAUUCAAUCGCUUUCAUUUGAAAUACAGAAUGAUGCAUCCCAUUAUGUUUUGCUGCAGAAAACAAACAUUCUUUUUUUUACCGACCUUCUGAAAACAUAUAAAUCAGUGGAUUCUAAAUGGGUGAUUAGGAGGAAUCUACUGUAUGCGUGUUCAGAAUACAAAGCAGUAAACCCAUUUUGAUGAUACUAAUAUUCUUCGACAGGGCAAGCAAACAUUAAAAUGUUAAACUGUGAAUGUUUAGCAAUUCUGAGAAGCCCAGCCAUUUAAGAUCAACAUUUAUUUAAAGUAAAAUUGAAAACCAGUAGAAAGGUCAUUUUGCUUAUAUUUUGCAGUUUCCAAGGUCCAUUAACGAACUAGCAGCGACGUAUCAUGUACGAGUUUUAAUAGAAGAUAAUUCCUCCCAUAUUCUCAAUGUUUACGGUUUUGCGGGUUUAGCUCGGUCGUUUAAUGAAAUUUCAUUGAUGAAACUUCAAAGGUUAGAAGAAGCAAAUCAUAGAUUCAAGGAUUUGAAUCAAUCUCCUUUAUGUUGUAGAAUCUUUCAAAUUCGGAUCUUGAGACAAUGGCGCGUUGUAAAAAUACAACUUAAAGGCACUAUAAAAAUCGUUUAUCUGAACACAUCGGCUCAGCAACGAAUCACAAUCAUUGAUUUUGAUAUUGUGCCAAAUUCGCAGUUUUGAAAGCUGAUUGUUUAUACUAAUAUCGUUACACGCAUCAGUUUUUUCAAAGAGCAUUGGCGCGCUUUUUACUAACGUUUCUCAUCAAACGAAUUAUAAUUCAUAUACUAUCUUCAAGUAGGUCGAUACGAUUAAAAAGAUACAAAUGACAAUAUUUGAAGCAUACGAAAGAUGGAGAAGGAAGUAGUUAAAGCGGGGCGGAUUCAUCGUUAAGGUAUGCACAAACAGUAAGCAGUCGAAAGCCGUUACUGAACUUUUAUUUACAAAUAUGAUAAAGAAAUGCUCUGAAAAUUAUUAAACAAGGCCAUUUUCCUCACUAUGGCUCAUAUAUUGCGUAGCUUGACUAGUAGCUAAGCAUAUAAAUGCAAUAUUAUGGAAGAUGGAAUUUUAUAUGUAUAAAAUUAUACAUCAACUAAAAGCAAAUACAAAAACAAUGCGGCAUCUUCUUUUUGUAUAUAAUUUAGUAGAGCAAGUCAGUCAACUUUGGACGUUUUAUUUUUUUUUGGCCUUCAUUGGUUCCAAAUAAAUAGCUUAGGUCGAAAGUGUAACUAGCAAAGGGGCAACAAACACAUCAUUUCGAAAAUCGUACAUGAUUAGUUAGUAUAAGGAGAGAAGAGAAGGAGUAUGCACAACG